ensembl:lncRNA
GUUGAAAUGUGAUGGAAACAGAUUGAACUUCUAUAUUUUUUAAUUGUAUUCGGUACAUGGGAACAUAACUGCAGAGUCAAUUUCAUGGAAACACAUCUCUGGUGGGAAAAUGCAGUAUAUUGUUUUUACGUGGAUUUUAGAAUAUAUGAAAAUCUGUCGCCAAUUGGAUGGAAACCUAGCUAAUGAUGAUAAAACAAGAGGAAACUUGUUUGCACCAUUCAAUUAUUCUCGCAACAGUAAGUUGCGAAAGACUGAGUUCCUAAAAAAUAUAUAACUUUUCUUAAACUCAGUCUUGAGGUCCUCCCUGAGUGAACAUUUAGUUUUUCCCCCUAGCACUACAGCUGAUUCAAAUCACCAACUCAUCACCAAGCUUUGAUUAUUUAAAUCAUCUGUGUAGUGCUAUGGCAAAACCCAAAGAUGCAACCGGAGGGGGGGCAGGACCAAGUUGGGGAAACCUUGACCCAAGUGACCGCAUUGCCUGUAGCCGGCCCUGUUCCUGACCUCUGACAUGGUUCUCUCAGUCAGCAGAUCAACAGUGUUAUUGCAAUGUAGUCAGCACUGCAGCAUGACAGCACUAAAUCAUCACCAUGAUCAUCCUCUACGUCACUAAAAAUUAACUUUCUCACAUGUCCACUAGUAUGAUGUGUGCAUACUUUUUUUCCUCAUUCUGCUCAUUCAUUUAUACACACACACACACACACACACACACGCACACACACACGCUCCAGAUCCCCAGACUCAGAGAGGGGGUUACAAAGAAACUGCAUGACAUCACAUGGUGGAGAGACAGACAGAGGGUUCAGAGGACUGUAGGUUGAAACUGAAUCAUAAUAAUUACAACAAUAUGAAACUGACCUCAGUCCAAAAUAAACCAGCUUAAAUCAUGAAAAACAUUUUCUCAAUAUUUUUCCAUUUCUUCUGAGAAAGAUAAUUUUGAAAAUGAUCAGCUUGAGUUACCCACCACCACUGAUCACAAGCGAGUCUACCUUUUCUGCCCGUGAGUAGGACAGAUUACUAUGGCAUGUUUAGUCUCAUACAACAGUGACUAGGGUCUAGUUUCAAUGCAGGACUCUUUUGGCAAAGAGGAACUAUGUCACUGUCAACAUCACUACUUUAUCUGUUUUAAAAAACAACUAAAUAGUAGCUAGCAAAAUGGAAAUUAU